rnacentral:rRNA from 1 species
UGGGGAAUUUUGGACAAUGGGCGAAAGCCUGAUCCAGCAAUGCCGCGUGUGUGAAGAAGGCCUUCGGGUUGUAAAGCACUUUUGUCCGGAAAGAAAUCCUUGGCUCUAAUACAGUCGGGGGAUGACGGUACCGGAAGAAUAAGCACCGGCUAACUACGUGCCAGCAGCCGCGGUAAUACGUAGGGUGCAAGCGUUAACCGGAAUUACUGGGCGUAAAGCGUGCGCAGGCGGUUUGCUAAGACCGAUGUGAAAUCCCGGGCUCAACCUGGGAACUGCAUUGGUGACUGGCAGGCUAGAGUAUGGCAGAGGGGGGUAGAAUUCCACGUGUAGCAGUGAAAUGCGUAGAGAUGUGGAGGAAUACCGAUGGCGAAGGCAGCCCCUGGGCCAAUACUGACGCUCAUGCACGAAAGCGUGGGGAGCAAACAGGAUUAGAUACCCUGGUAGUCCACGCCCUAAACGAUGUCAACUAGUUGUUGGGGAUUCAUUCCUUAGUAACGUAGCUAACGCGUGAAGUUGACCGCCUGGGGAGUACGGUCGCAAGAUUAAAACUUAAAUGAAUUGACGGGGUCAUA